CGGCCGCGUCGACAUCGCAGAGUUCGGCAAGAAAGCCCAAGAGGGCAAGCUUAGCCUGGAAGACAUGACGGGCGGCACGUUCUCGAUCUCCAACGGCGGUACGUUUGGCUCGAUGCUGUCGACCCCGAUUAUCAACCCGCCGCAAUCGGCCAUCCUGGGCGUGCACGCCACCAAGGAUCGCGCCGUGGUGGAGAACGGCCAGAUCGUCAUUCGCCCGAUGAACUACCUGGCCAUGUCCUACGACCACCGCAUCAUCGACGGCCGCGUCGACCUGUCGUCAGCUCGUGUCGUGAGAUGUUGGGUUAAGUCCCGCAACGAGCGCAACCCUCGUGUUUAGUUGCCAUCAUUAAGUUGGGCACUCUAAACAGACUGCCGGUGACAAACCGGAGGAAGGUGGGGAUGACGUCAAGUCAGCAUGCCCCUUACGUCCUGGGCUACACACGUACUACAAUGGUAGGGACAGAGGGCAGCCAACCCGCGAGGGCGAG
rnacentral:rRNA from 1 species